UAGGGGGCAAGCGUUAUCCGGAUUCAUUGGGCGUAAAGCGCGCGCAGGCGGACCGUUAAGCGGGACCUCUAAUCUUGGGGCUCAACCUCAAGCCGGGUCCCGAACUGGCGCAGUCUCGAGUUCGGUAGGGGAGGUCGGAAUUCCCGGUGUAGCGGUGGAAUGCGCAGAUAUCGGGAAGAACACCGAUGGCGAAGGCAGACCUCUGGGCCGCAACUGACGCUGAGGCGCGAAAGCUAGGGGAGCGAA
rnacentral:rRNA from 1 species